rnacentral:rRNA from 1 species
AUUGAACGCUGGCGGCAGGCUUAACACAUGCAAGUCGAGCGGGGAGAUGUAGCUUGCUACAUAUCCUAGCGGCGGACGGGUGAGUAAUGCUUAGGAAUCUGCCUAUUAGUGGGGGACAACAUUCCGAAAGGAAUGCUAAUACCGCAUACGCCCUACGGGGGAAAGCAGGGGAUCUUCGGACCUUGCGCUAAUAGAUGAGCCUAAGUCGGAUUAGCUAGUUGGUGGGGUAAAGGCCUACCAAGGCGAAGAUCUGUAGCGGGUCUGAGAGGAUGAGCCGCCACGCUGGUACUGAGACACGGCCCAGACCCCUACGGGAGGCAGCAGUGGGGAAUAUUGGACAAUGGGCGCAAGCCUGAUCCAGCCAUGCCGCGUGUGUGAAGAAGGCCUUUUGGUUGUAAAGCACUUUAAGCGAGGAGGAGGCUCCUUUAGUUAAUACCUAAAGAGAGUGGACGUUACUCGCAGAAUAAGCACCGGCUAACUCUGUGCCAGCAGCCGCGGUAAGAC